rnacentral:rRNA from 1 species
GGUUAAGUCCCGCAACGAGCGCAACCCUCGUUGUCUGUUGCUACAGGCUGCAAAAGUGCUGAGCACUCAGGCGAGACUGCCGGUGACAAACCGGAGGAAGGUGGGGAUGACGUCAAAUCAUCAUGCCCCUUAUGCCUAGGGCGACACACGUGUUACAAUGGGAUGGGACAACGGGCAGCUAGCCAGCGAUGGUCGGCUAAUCCCUUAAACUCACCCUCAGUUCGGAUUGGAGUCUGCAACUCGACUCCAUGAAGUCGGAAUCGCUAGUAAACGCGGAUCAGCCAUGCCGCGUUGAAUACGUUCCCGGGCCUUGUACACACCGCCCGUCACACCACGAAAGAGAGUCACGCCCGAAGUCGGUAUCCUAACCGUAAGGAGGGAGCCUCCGAAGGCAGGAUUCUUGAUUGGGGUGAAGUCGUAACAANGUANCC